CCAUGCAAUACCCCAUAGGUGCCCCAUAGAUGCCAUGGACACCCCCAUGCAAUGCCCCAUAGGAGCCCCACUGUAGUGCAAUACCCCAUAGGUGCCCCAUAGAUGCCAUGGACACGCCCAUGCGAUGCCCCAUAGGAGCCCCAUUGUAGAGCAAUACCCCAUAGGCGCUAUGAUCGCCCCCCAUGCAGUGCCCCACUGUGCCCCACAGGUGCCACAACGCCCCCUCCCCACAGCCCCCCGUGCCUCAGUUUCCCCUUUGCAGAGCAGCCGCACUGCGGAGCCGCACAGCGCUGUGGUUGGGGAGGAGGGAAGCGAAGAAGGACGGCGGAGCUAAUUGAAAACGAAGGGGAAAUUUUUAAUCAGGGCGAAUGUAAUUACUGCAGCUGGAGUUGGGCCAGGGCAGCGGGUUAAUGGCCCCGGGGCUUCAAUUCAAUCUUCCCCCCCUCUCGGCCUCUCCUUCCUCCCGCGGAUGGGAAUUGCUGCGCAUCCCCGGAGCGAAACCGUCUCCAUCCCUCCAUCCCUCCAUCCCUCCAUCCCUCCAUCCCUCCAUCCCUCCAUCC
ensembl:lncRNA